rnacentral:rRNA from 1 species
UACGUAGGAGGCAAGCGUUGUCCGGAAUUACUGGGCGUAAAGGGCGUGCAGGCGGUUUGUUAAGUCUAGGGUGAAAGCUCCCGGCUCAACUGGGAGAGGUCCUUGGAUACUGACAGACUUGAGGGAGGCAGAGGAGAAUGGAAUUCCCGGUGUAGUGGUGAUAUGCGUAGAUAUCGGGAGGAACACCAGUGGCGAAGGCGGUUCUCUGGGCCUUACCUGACGCUGAGACGCGAAAGCGUGGGGAGCGAACAGG